rnacentral:lncRNA from 1 species
UUUACCCAAGUCGACAUUAAUGUUAAUUUAGCGUUUCAUUACAAAUUUCCACCAAAUGUUGCAACAAACAAUAUUUGAUUGACAUGUUUGUAUCUAAUAUCUAAAAUAUAUUUUCGUAAAUAAUGAAAAAGAAAGUAAUUUAAAAUGAAUCCUUGUCUCUGGUAUAUAUGAUCAGCUGAUGGGGUUCUAGGUUCUGCUCACAGUGGCUGCUGUUGGGUCAGAUUUAGUUUGGAAGUACCCGUUCUGGGACUCGUCACCCUCAGCACCGCUCUCCAACAGAUAAGCCGCUGCUGGUGUGUGUUUUAGAUUUUGGAAUAUUAUUGUUUGCUCUCAAAACCUUACGAACAAAUGACUGCGGAGCUGCGCCGAGAGUGGCUCAAAUGUCCUUUUAGAGGAGCGAGCACGCUGAUGCGUUUCCGUGGAGAAUUCCCCCGGAGGAGAUUCCAUUCAGACGGGCUCCUGAGGGGUUUAAUGGCCCAAAUGCAGCCGCUCGGCCCUGACGUUCCCUCACGGACGCCGGAGUCACUGCAACCGGGAAGACAGCGUGUGUUUGCGCGUGUUUACGCACACAUUUUCCUCCUCUACGUCAGCAUAUCACUCCACUCGCCCUCCGUCCUCUUGAGGGACCUGAGCUGACGUGGACCUGCAGCUGUCACCAUGGAUUACACCCCGGACGGCUCACCGGCCCAUCACAUCAAAGCUGAAGCACGCUGCUGCCGUGCGCCUGCACCAGCACCUGCCCAUUAACUGCACUGGCUAAAUGAUAAAGUGAUUGUGAUCUGCGGGCUGUAAACUUUAAAGCUCUGUCCACACCAGCGCAGUUGGUCCAGUUAAUCAAAAGGUUUACGGACCUGCAGCUCUGUGUGUGUGUGUGUGUGUGUGUGUGUGUGUGUGUGUGUGUGUGUGUGUGUGUGUGUGUGUGUGUGUGUGUGUGUGUGUAGUGCUAUAGUGGAGACUCAGACUCAA